rnacentral:tRNA from 1 species
UUCCCUCUAAAUCACCACGAGCGAGCAACGCAAAUGUAUCGGCAUCCUGGGGCGGAAGCUUGUCGGGGUCGA